ACAUCACACUCAUAUAUCCGCCUACGCGCCCUUUACGCCCAGUAAAUCCGAUUAACGCUCGCACCCUCUGUAUUACCGCGGCUGCUGGCACAGAGUUUGCCGGUGCUUAUUCUGCUGGUACCGUCAAAUUACUAGGAUUAUCCCCUAAUAACCUUCUUCCCAACCUAAAGAGCUUUACGACCCGAGGGCCUUCUUCACUCACGCGGCAUCGCUGGAUCAGGGUUGCCCCCAUUGUCCAAUAUUCCCCACUGCUGCCUCCCGUAGGAGUCUGGGCCGUGUCUCAGUCCCAGUGUGACUGGCCGUCCUCUCAGACCAGUUACCGAUUAUCGCCUUGGUAGGCUCUUACCCCACCAACUAGCUAAUCGGACGCAGGCCCCUCCUUCAGUGCCACCUUACGGCAGCUUUACUCCUCAGAGAUUAUGCGGUAUUAGCUAAAGUUUCCCUUAGUUAUCCCCCUCUGAAGGGCAGGUUCCUACGUGUUCCUCACCCGUCCGCCGCUCGUCAGCAACUAGUAUUGCUACUAGUCCUGCUACCGCUCGACUUGCAUGUGUUAGGCGUGCCGCCAGCGUUCAAUCUGAGCCAUGAUCAAACUCUAAGAGGCAUCACUGAUUUGACCAAUGGAUGAGUCUGGGUGGAGAGAUCGGAAGGAACGUCGAUGGCGAAGGCAGCCACCUGGCAUCAUACUGACGCUGAGGCGCGAAAGCGUGGGGAGCGAACAGGAUUAGAUACCCUGGUAGUCCACGCUGUAAACGAUGAGAACUAAAUGUUAGUAGGGGAACCUAUUAGUAUUGAAGCUAACGCGAUAAGUUCUCCGCCUGGGAAGUACGGCCGCAAGGUUGAAACUCAAAUGAAUUGACGGGGGCCCGCACAAGCGGUGGAGCAUGUGGUUUAAUUCGAUGCAACGCGAAGAACCUUACCUACCCUUGACAUCCUGCGAAUCCUGAUGAGAGUUGGGAGUGCCGAAAGGAGCGCAGAGACAGGUGCUGCAUGGCUGUCGUCAGCUCGUGUUGUGAGAUGUUGGGUUAAGUCCCGUAACGAGCGCAACCCUUGUCCUUAGUUGCCAUCAUUAAGUUGGGGACUCUAAGGAGACUGCCGGUGAUGAACCGGAGGAAGGCGGGGACGACGUCAAGUCAUCAUGGCCUUUAUGGGUAGGGCUACACACGUGCUACAAUGGGGCGUACAGAGGGUCGCGAAGCCGCGAGGUGGAGCAAAUCUCAUAAAGCGUCUCGUAGUCCGGAUCGGAGUCUGCAACUCGACUCCGUGAAGUCGGAAUCGCUAGUAAUCGCGAAUCAGCAUUGUCGCGGUGAAUACGUUCCCGGGCCUUGUACACACCGCCCGUCACGUCAUGGAAGUGGAUGGUACCAGAAGCGGGUAGAUUAACCGAAAGGGAGUCGCUUGCCACGGUAUGAUUCAUGACUGGGACGAAGUCGUAACAAGGUA
rnacentral:rRNA from 1 species